GGGGCCAUCUGUCUGCAACGUUGUGAAAGACCCCACUUCAGAACCAUCUAGCUAAGUCACUUCUGAAUGGUGCCUGCAACUUCUGUGACCAUUUUGCCAUGUUGGGACCAAGUGUGAAUGCAAAGUUUGCACAUAGAGGAGAACUGACCAAUCGGAGAAUGGAAAACUUCUUGAUCAUUGAUGACAGCAGUCAACCAGUGAAGCCAUCAAGCCUGGAGUUUUUCCUACUGCUGGAAUUCUUGUCAUUGCAGAAAAUCAAUGUUGUGUUCUGAUUUGGGGCAUUCUAGCUUGCAAAUAGAGGCAUCUUAGCUGACACCAAAUGCUCCCUAAGGAUAUUCCAAAGAUAAAAUUGAUGUCUUCAUUUUGAAGGGCA
rnacentral:lncRNA from 1 species